rnacentral:rRNA from 1 species
GGCCGCAGUAUUUUGACUGUGCAAAGGUAGCAUAAUCAUUAGUCUUUUAAUUAAAGGCUAGUAUGAAUGGUUAGAUGAAAUAAAUUCUGUUUUGUAUAAAUAUUUUGAAUUUAUAUUUUAAGUUAAAAUACUUAAAUGGUGUUAAGGGACGAGAAGACCCUAUAGAGUUUUAUAUAAUUAAUUUUAUUUAAGUUAUUUAAAAAUUAAAAGUUAAUAGGAAAUUAUAUUUGGUUGGGGUGAUUGAAAAAUAGGAUGAAUUUUUUUUUAUUUUAAAUAGUAUAAAUAGUAUGUUGAUCCAUAUAUGAUGAAUAAAAGAUUAAAUUACCUUAGGGAUAACAGCAUAA